rnacentral:rRNA from 1 species
GAUGAACGCUGGCGGCGUGCCUAAUACAUGCAAGUCGAGCGAACGGACGAGAAGCUUGCUUCUCUGAUGUUAGCGGCGGACGGGUGAGUAACACGUGGAUAACCUACCUAUAAGACUGGGAUAACUUCGGGAAACCGGAGCUAAUACCGGAUAAUAUUUUGAACCGCAUGGUUCAAAAGUGAAAGACGGUCUUGCUGUCACUUAUAGAUGGAUCCGCGCUGCAUUAGCUAGUUGGUAAGGUAACGGCUUACCAAGGCAACGAUGCAUAGCCGACCUGAGAGGGUGAUCGGCCACACUGGAACUGAGACACGGUCCAGACUCCUACGGGAGGCAGCAGUAGGGAAUCUUCCGCAAUGAGCGAAAGCCUGACGGAGCAACGCCGCGUGAGUGAUGAAGGUCUUCGGAUCGUAAAACUCUGUUAUUAGGGAAGAACAUAUGUGUAAGUAACUGUGCACAUCUUGACGGUACCUAAUCAGAAAGCCACGGCUAACUACAUG